AAUAUGUGAUGCGAUCGCACGCCGUCCGCCAGUUAAUUUUUUUUUAUUAGUUUUUCUCGUUUUGCUGUGCGGGGCGUUCCGCUUUUGCGGACACACAGUUCUCUUACAAUUAACUACACAUCCAUUUCUGUUUUUGUCGUCUUCCCUUUCGUCAUUUUUGUUUAGUUUCGUUUCGCCACCGUUACGUAUCUUGGUGUGAACGCACCUAAAGUAGGCCUAGUUAUUGCUUCUUUAAAAAAAAAAAAGAAAACAAACUACAUGCUGGUAAAGAACAGUCUUUUGUACCAUUAUACGUGCUGCUAUUAGCUAUGCAUUGGGAGAACUUUUUCUAUUUCUUUUCUUGCCAAAAAGAAAGCGUUAGUGAUGUGAGUGAUAGAACCCGCUAAACUAGAUCCCGAAAAUGUAUUUAUUUUUAGAUCACUUGCUUUGUAGCGAAACCAAUCAACUUUGAAUAACAUCUCAAGAAAGGUCCCUUCGUUUGGCCUGCUGACCUCUUUUUAAUUUCUUAAAAAUUGCAGUUAAAAUCUGGGUCGCAACUCGCGAGUUCAUCACGGGACUGAGGGCUCCGGGGGAUGUUGACGAACUCUAGCCGCCCCGUGAGUAUAAUGACCCGAAACUCCUAUUUUGUUUUGUUCUUUUAUUUAUUUUUUUUUCACCAAAAAAAUUAUAUUGCGGUCCGUAUGAGAUGAGACGAUAAGAUAGCGUUUUUUUUUGUUUCCAAUUAUAAUAGCUUCAAGAUAUGAUUGGUUCAUAGUCUGGAACUAAAUUUUUCCUUACGGUCAAAUGACGUGCAUUUUCUUUGGCUAAAACAGUGUCGGAUUUUUGCCCAGUCAGGUGUUCGUUGUUUGGUGCUAAUCUGUUGAAUGAUAGAGCGAGAAUGCUAAGCCUGUUAUACAGCAGUCAAUCAUUCUCAUAGACAAGUACGUAAAUUCAUAGAGUAACUGCUAUUUUAUUAUUCAGUCCUUCGUUUUCCUUUCGUAUGGACUUUUUGGAAUGACUACAGUUUUCAUGUCUAUAUUUUCUCCUAGAAAAUGGGCAUCUAAUCUGAAACAACUCCCGAUAAAAAUAGCCGUACAGUCAGUUCAACGACUAAAGGCGUUACAAGAAAAUUGACUUAAAAAAUAAAACAAAAAAUCCUUUCUCUUUACAAUACCUUCCAAAGGCUAUAUAUACCGGGCUAGACAAUAAAUGCGGAAUGACUGGGGUGUGUUUUGACCUGGGGCGACUAGAGCGCUUAAAUCUUUGCGAUGGCUAAAAAAAAAAGGCCUUGUACACAUUCGCUGAUUGCGUAUACAGAUACUAAAUAAGUAUAUACUAUGCACGUACAGAAGCACGAUCGAAAGAAUGUGAAUUCCUUUUUUGGGUAGACACUUUACCGAUGAAAUUAACCUUAAUUUCGUUACAGCAGAGGCAUUUAGCUCCAAUAUGUUUUAUUUAAAGGUUCACUGUGCUAUGUGUGCGUGAACCAAACAACGUUCCGUUUUCCCGUGCCAGAGCUUUUGUGUUUGACAUACAAUGAGUCGCUGCUAAAAGUUCGUGGUGGUUUCCCUCUUUUUCUUUUUCGAAGAGAACAAAAAUAAAGAAAAAAAACAAAACAAAACUGCGACCACAUAAUGGAUUUUUCGGAACAUUCUCAAGUGACCAACUUCCUUUCAAAUGGAAACACCUUCUUUCCCCCCCACACAAAAUUUGAACGUUUCAUUUUGGAACAAAAUUUCGUAAAUCGUAUUUGUGAUGAUCUUAUUGAAACUUUACACUCCGGAUAAAUCCAGAAAGGAGGGAUCUAGAGCGCAUCCGCUGGAGGUGGAUGAACGAAGCAAUAGUGCCAUCUUUUUAUCUGAUAGAAAAUAAAAACGCAUCAAAUGAUCUGCGACGGGGUGUUGAAUUAGCCAUAACCGUUGGCGAUAACGUUCGAAAUUUCCAAAGUCUUAAAGACUUCGGUAAAGUCAAAUAAAUUUUGCUUUGUUAGUUGAUGGAAAUUGACGUGGAAGCAGAUGGCUUCUAAACAGACUUGUUUUAUCCGGUUAUGAACGGCAUACCGAUGGACUGGAGCGCAAAAAAAAAAAUUAGUUUCAUGAUAGAAAUUCCGUCCACAAUAUUUAUAUAACCAACACUGGUACCGCUUCUUCACGAUAUUUUUGUCAAUAGAUGGCGAGCGGAGCGCUCAUGGUGCAACCUGCAAUCUGGCAACCUGACACUAUUUCCCGCGAGACGAGAGGGUUCGAUGGUUUGUGCUUCGUUGGUGUUUUGCAUGUUCUUUUUGUUUCGGGUGUUGUUGGACACAAAUCGAUAUUUUUUCGUGACAGAGAGCGCGUUGGCACAACGCUAAGAUGCUUUUUCAUUCAUGUGCGUUCUCGAAAUAGGGAACGUGAAACAAGUAAAGCCCACGUUAAUGUUUGCUGCAUGUUUUGAUCAUCUGUAGGUGGCUCGCCAUUAGAGACUGUACUUGAAGACCCUUCAUCUUCAUUCCGAAAGUACAAUUUCAGUAGUAGCCUUGCAAGAGUUUUGUUGGGCUUCGUUUGUUUGCUAGUGCAAAUCGUAACGUCGAUUCUCUACUUCAAACAAAAUCAAUAUGCCCAUAAAAAGGAGAAAAUGGUACAUGUAGAAUGAGAGUUGGGAGGAGCAAAGCAGCAUGUUUUGUUUCAUCAUAUUUCAAUGUUGUAAAUGUUUGAUUAGGGUCUUUCAAAGUUGUAAAUGUUUGAUUAGGGUCUUUCAAAGUUGUAAAUGUUUGAUUGAGAUCUUCUAAAGUUUUGGGCAAAGGAUUUGAUUGCCAGUGGAAAGGAAAUGGUAACAAAAUUUUGGUGAGUUUUUUAAAAUUACUUUUCUAAAAAUUGAAUCUAUGUUAAGCUAGUUUUAAUAUAAGGAAAAAAUGGUAAAGUAACAGAUAAAUUUAAAGAAAGAUACCAAAGGAAGCGUGCCAUUCCAGGUUGCCACAACAUGUUACUUGCCAUUCUUGUAAGUUUUUACAUAACUGUAUUUCAUCUAACAUUUCCACAAUGCCUGUACCAUCAUAGUACUUACAGUUGCAGUAUUUUGGCUGACAAAGAAAAAGUCUAGGUGAAUGACACUAGACUAUGCUAAGAUGACGAAUGUCUUUUCCAUAUCAGAAUCAUGUGCACUUCCAUCUUAAUUUGUUUGCAAGCCUUAAGAAUACACAAAACAGGGUUUUUGUGAGGUCUGAAUAAAACAUCAAUACAGGAGGCUAGAGAAAUGCUUCCUACCACCAUUUAGAUCGUGCCCUUGUAAUAUUUUCUCAUUUUCAAAGGUAUGUGAUGUUUUAGUGUAUUACAUUGCAUCAUGUCAUUUUUAUAGGUAGGCAGUUUCAGUACGAAAGCAAGAGCUGUGCAUGUAGCCCCUCCUUGUCUGCUGUAUUUGUUCUUCCUGCUAUAAGAUUUGUUCAAGCGCAGGAACUUCUAGGGAGGCAGAUGAAGAACAUAUCGUGGGAGUAGGAAUCGUUAAUAUUUUGAAUGGUGAAAAAAUCAGCGUCGAAAAAGUUUUUAUCGGUGCUUUCGUCUUGUAGUUGGUUUACAGCCACAAAAUUUAUUUCCGCCAUGGAGUAUUCUUGUUUCUGGUGUGAAGCAUACUCUAACAGAAUGAUGUACGCAAGAACUCACCGUCAGAAUUCUAGUCCUGUAAGGAAGUGGCUCAGGACCGGGUGAUCAACUCUUGGACAUGAACCUUCAAGAGAACAAUAGAAACACGACGUGUAUAUAAUAUCACCGAAGAACCAUCUUAGAAUCGGACUGUUAUGUCUAGCCUGGCGACUGUGCAAGAUUUGAUUGCCUGUCUUCAUAUCAACCAAAGCCCGCGACUUUUUGUAUUAACGCGCCGCGGACUAACAGGUUACGACAGGGGCCAGUCCCGCGUUGAUCUGGUCAAUUUGUUGAAAGGCCAACCCGAUCAGUGGUUGUUCAACGCAGGUCAUGGCCGAGCACUAGCUUAAAAUGCCCUUUUGAGCACUAUCGCUUGCAAGCAAACGAAAUCGAAUUGAUACGUUCCUUUACAGGCUGGUUUGCCGUUUACCUUUUUCCCUAUUUGUACGUAGCUAAACCCUGCUUUUGAGUUAACAGCUUCAGACUGUAUCAUGUAUUAUAUCAGGAGUAGUUAUGUGGGUAUUAUUCUCUUUGCACGUUAGAGCUUGAGCUGUAGGUGUAAGGUAUACUAGAUGGCGCAUGUUCUGUACGGAAACGCUAUGGCUGAGCUGCGAGUGUGAGGUAUGUAUACUAGAUGGCGUAGCCACUGAUCUGUAAGCAAACUCCAGUACGGUCCUAUUGGACGUGGUAGCGCCACUGUACUAACAAUGUCUUUUACUGGAGCACUCUGGCGUCCCAAAAUAUGUCAAGAGUGUACUGGCGUUUGCGUAAAGAACGGCUGUAGUCUGAACCGUAACACGUGUAACUCAAUGGGUUUUUGCAGUCGUUACUACUCCUGGUAUACUUUGUGAGCAUAAAAAAAUAUUAAUUUUUAGACAAACGAAGUUGCAGUUGGCUCCACUAGAGGCGCUGAAUACAUUUGCACAUCUGGGAACGUUGGAAACUGUUGCACACCAGGUGGCCGUAGAUUCACAAGGCAUAACGCACAAGGUAGUCAAUUUGAUUAGUUUUUGGUCUGGGUCUUAGUACUCCUUUGUGAAAAUCUUUGUCUUUAACAAUGGUUCCAUUAUGCACUUGUCUCAACUAGCUAGUAAAAAUUUUCAAUUUCUCGCGAAAAGGCAAAUAUGUUUUAAAAAACGAAUAAUCGUUUUAAAAAAUCUCUGGUCUUCAAGUAUGUAUGAUUUGUUUUAAUGGUAACAGCGUUUCCAUGAUGCACGUGUUGCAACCAUCUAGCAGAAAAUGAUUAUUGAAUUUCAUUGGGUUCAAGUGGGUCAAUACGUUUGGAUAAUCGUUAUUAAAUCAUAUUUAGGGUUUUAUAUCGUUUGCUGCUGUAUCUCAUGGAAUUCGUUCUAUCUAGGCGAAUGAGAAUGUUAAACUGUUAUAGCAAACAUGUGUUCAUAAAAAAAACUUUGUUAAAAAUGUUAAAAAUGUAUUCUCAUAAUUUGGGCUAGAAGGAUUUUUAUUUCUUAUUAGGUGCUAACAUACUAUUUGCCUUGAUUAGUAAAUAUGAAUUAUUCUUUUUAAAUUAUUAAUUGUAUGGGUUUUUCAUUUAGAUGUCUGUAUUUAUGGUUGGCAUAAAUUUAAUAGAGAUUUACACCGGGAGAAUUCAAGCUGUUCAGAGUAACAGUAAGCUGAUGGAGUUAUGCAACUAUUUUGUUGCUAAUACAAAAACAUGCUCCAUAUAUUUUUUGCCUACCCGGUUUCCAAGAUCUUAGCAUGUUGCUGAUGUAACAACCUUGAUACAGUCUGAACUUUGAAGCUUACCAAGUGUUCUAGCGUGGCAGGAAUUUAAGAAGAGGUAUUUUUGUGAUAAAUUUCCUUGAAAAUUACUAAAGGAAAUAAUAGUUAGUGUUAUAAUCUCACUAACAAAACAAAACAAACAAAAUUUCCAUUUCUCACAAAAGGUAUAGGUUUGAAUAAUCUUCGUUAAAAUACAUCUUGGGUUGUAUAUAAAGUCAAAUUUUUUAAAAACUAGUUUUUCCAACAGAUUCAUUAUGCACGUGUCGUAACCACCCAACAGACAAUAGUUGUUGAUUUUCGUUUUGCACAGAUAAGUAAAUAGGUUUGAACAAUCCUUAAAGCAUUUCUCAGGUCUCACUUCUUUGCUGUAUCUUCUAGAAUUUGUGCCAUCCAGCCCUUUGGAAUAUGAAGCUGUUCAUCAUGGCCUAGGGUUUGUUGAAACAAAAACAUUCUAUUAAUUGUGCAUUCUUUAGAUAACUCUGGCUAAGAGGGUUAUAUUUCUUAUUGGUUGCCAGCCAACUUUUAUCUCAAGUAUUUAUGAAUAUUCCUUGUUAAUUUUAUAAGUGUUUUUCUUACAGGUGUUGGUGUGUUGUUGACAAGAAGUUCUACAAAAAAGCUUUGCAAAAAGGGAGCUGUUAAUUCAAAGAAAGUCCAUUGUAAAUCCAACUGCUGUGUUUUAAAAACUAUGUUGUUGAUAACAACAAAUAUGAUGAAUGUAUUUUCAUCUACAGCUGAAUUGAGAUGCAAGUUCUUUUGUAGGUGUAACACACUGUGCUUGUGUGGUGUUUAAGAAGUUAGUUGCUAUAGUCAAAUGUUUCGCAUUGUAUCCUUAGAAUUGUUUACUUUCUAAUUUUUUUACUUUUAAAGUAUUGACAGCAAUUGUAGAACAACUAAAACAAAUUAUUGCCUUCAAUUUUGAUAUUAGAGCUUCUGACUCACAUAUUGAAUCUCUCAUUAAAUCUCACAUGAAGCAA